rnacentral:RNase_P_RNA from 1 species
GCGGCUGACCGCUCUGUCGUGCCGCUCUGCCAUCCGGCGGACGGUAAGGAAAGUCCGGGCAACAAAGGGCGCCAUGCUUCCUAACGGGAAGUCGGGUGAAAGCCUGAAGCCACGUAACAGAAAAUGACCGCCCUGGAGGUUCGCCGCCGGGGUAAGGGUGAAAAGGUGUGGUAAGAGCGCACCGGUCGCGGGAGCAAUUCCGGGAGCCGUACGUCUCAUGGGUUGCAAGGCCAAAUAUAUCCCGGUCGCAAGGCAAGACGGCCCGUCUUGUUUCCUGAUGCCCGCAGGCGGAAGGAUGCCGGGAGGGGUAGGCUGCAUGACCGUGCCAGUAAUGGUACGGCGAGAUAAAUGACAGAGAUCCGGUGCCGGCAACGGUUCCGGGUACAGAACCCGGCUUACAGGUCAGCCAAUUUU